UUUUUUUUUUUUGGCUUUAAAGCUUAGGAUCCCAGACCUCACCAGACUGGCUAUUUUUGUUGCUAUUCUUUUAAUGUCAUACCUGUUUCUGUUUAAUUUCUGUGUUGCCUGUGACACAACACAGCUGAGAUGGCAACUGCCAUCUCGUUACUGUGAGAGCAGAGCCCGACAGAGCGAUGGCUUUGCUGUGCAGGCAGGGAUGUCCCAGGCAACAGAGACUGUCUCCCUUGCAACGUGAGCCUUGGGACCCUGCCAAGCUCCCCACGAGUUAAUCUCGUUUGAUUUUAUACCGCUCUGCAGCACUGAAAUGUGUUCGAUGCUCACUUGCUUCCUCCACCUCAACUGUAAAUAGUCACGUUUCAAAGCAAACAGCAGGGCUCUGCCUACCAUGUUCUCUCAUCUGUGCUGAUUUGUGAUGGUUUAACUCCUGCAGGAUUUCCUGCAGAGAUGAAGGGGUUUGUGCACAGUGGCCAUUCAUCUUUCUCAAUUAAGAAAGAGUUCAGUUUUUAACUUGCCAGUCUCAUCUUUCCUAGGAAAUAGGGAAGCAUCCCUCUUUCAGUCUUAUACAAGGCAAAACUCUGAAAUGAGAAACUUAACUUCCAGUUUCUCCAUUGUUUUAUAGUGUAAUUAAGCUUUUUUUUUUUUUUUAAUCCAAGUGUAAAUAUUGUGAGAUUGGAACAGGAGAGAGAGUUAAUACUGCUUUUACACUCUUUCCUGAAAUGGCUUUCAGCUCUUUGUGCUAAAAAAAUAAAAUCCAAAAACAAAAAUGGACAGAACAAAUCUAACAUCCUUGUGCCAUGAAAAAAUUUCUGGAGAACAUUUAUAGGAAAAACUUUUGAUUUAACACAAUAAAUAAGUUUUUUAAUGCUAGGAAAACAGCUUUAUCAAAUGCUGACAGGACACAGAAAUGGUUUGGAGAAAGCAAAGUUUGUAUACGUUGAAUGUAUAAAUGAAUUUGCCUUUUCUGGAGUUGUAUGGUACAUAGAAAGAGACUUUAAAAAUAAGUUUUUACUUUUGGGAAGUGUUUUGUUGAUUUUGCUCUCUUUUGACUUUCUAAUUAACUCCAAGUGUCCCUGGAUGCAUCUUGGGACUUGGAGAGCAGUGUUUACAUUCACUUGCAUUUUCAGAACUGAAUCCUCAAGAGGUGAGGAAAGCAAAUAAACUGUGCUUUAAUGUAAAAAAACAAAACAAAACAAAAACAAAACCAAACCACAAGCAGAAAUUGCUAUAAUGGAUGAUUAUUUUUAUUAAAUAAAAAAGCGUUUACAGAUCAAGUGUGAAAAUCCUCUGAAUAACGUUAGCUGUUUUAUUUUGUUGUAUUUUAUUUUCUGAACCAUUCAGCGAUCUGCCGGUACCUUUGGUUUUGCCAUUUUUUGAAGAACACACUGGGAAAAGCACUCGUGUUGUCUGAAAGGGAUUGUCAGCCCAGAAAAAAAGAAAAAGACAAGCUUCUUGUUGCUGGACAUCUCUGAUAAAAUAAUUUCUGGUGGAGGCUGCCUUUUCUUCAUCUGUGGAUGUGGCAUUGCUGCAAAGUAUUCAUCUUAAGUUUGAUACCUUAAGGUGUUACUGAAAGA